GAUGAACGCUGGCGGCGUGCCUAAUACAUGCAAGUUGUGCGGUAACAGAGAGAGCUUGCUCUCUGCUGACGAGCGGCGGACGGCAGAGUAACGCGUAGGAACAUACCCCAAACUGAGGGAUAACUGCUCGAAAGAGUAGCUAAUACCGCAUAUGGUCUUCGGAUUAAAGCUUCGGCGGUUUGGGAGUGGCCUGCGUCCGAUUAGCUAGUUGGUGGGGUAAAGGCUCACCAAGGCUACGAUCGGUAGCUGGUCUGAGAGGAUGAUCAGCCUGACUGGAACUGAGAACGGUGCAGACUCCUACGGGAGGCAGCAGUGGGGAAUAUUGGACAAUGGGCGAAAGCCUGAUCCCGCCAUGCCGCGUGUGUGAAGAAGGUCUUCGGAUUGUAAAGCACUUUAAGUCGGGAGGAAGGGCUGUAGGCUAAUACCUUGCAGUUUUGACGUUACCGACAGAAUAAGCACCGGCUAACUUCGUGCCAGCCGCCGCUGUAA
rnacentral:rRNA from 1 species